rnacentral:rRNA from 1 species
AAGCCAGACUCCUACGGGAGGCAGCAGUGGGGAAUAUUGCACAAUGGGGGGAACCCUGAUGCAGCGACGCCGCGUGGGUGAAGGAGUCCUUCGGUACGUAAAGCCCUAUCAGCAGGAAAGAAAAUGACGGUACCUGACUAAGAAGCCCCGGCUAACUACGUGCCAGCAGCCGCGGUAAUACGUAGGGGGCAAGCGUUAUCCGGAUUUACUGGGUGUAAAGGGAGCGUAGACGGCAGUGCAAGUCCGGAGUGAAAGCCCGGGGCUCAACCCUGGGACUGCUCUGGAAACUGUAAAGCUGGAGUGCGGGAGGGGCAGGCGGAAUUCCUGGUGUAGCGGUGAAAUGCGUAGAUAUCAGGAGGAACACCGGCGGCGAAGGCGGCCUGCUGGACCGUAACUGACGUUGAGGCUCGAAAGCGUGGGGAGCAAACAGGAUUAGAUACCCCUGUAGU